rnacentral:rRNA from 1 species
GGCCAGACUCCUACGGGAGGCAGCAGUGAGGAAUAUUGGUCAAUGGGCUUACGCCUGAACCAGCCAAGUCGCGUGAGGGAAGACUGCCCUAUGGGUUGUAAACCUCUUUUGUCAGGGAGCAAGAACGGAUACGUGUAUCCGAGCGAGAGUACCUGAAGAAAAAGCAUCGGCUAACUCCGUGCCAGCAGCCGCGGUAAUACGGAGGAUGCGAGCGUUAUCCGGAUUUAUUGGGUUUAAAGGGUGCGUAGGCGGGCUGCCAAGUCAGCGGUAAAAUUGCGGGGCUCAACCCCGUCGAGCCGUUGAAACUGGCGGUCUUGAGUGGGCGAGAAGUAUGCGGAAUGCGUGGUGUAGCGGUGAAAUGCAUAGAUAUCACGCAGAACUCCGAUUGCGAAGGCAGCAUACCGGCGCUCGACUGACGCUGAAGCACGAAAGCGUGGGUAUCGAACAGGAUUAGAUACCCCAGUAAG